rnacentral:rRNA from 1 species
UACGAAGGGGGCUAGCGUUGCUCGGAAUCACUGGGCGUAAGGGUGCGUAGGCGGGUCUUUAAGUCAGGGGUGAAAUCCUGGAGCUCAACUCCAGAACUGCCUUGAUACUGAAGAUCUUGAGUUCGGGAGAGGUGAGUGGAACUGCGAGUGUAGAGGUGAAAUUCGUAGAUAUUCGCAAGAACACCAGUGGCGAAGGCGGCUCACUGGCCCGAUACUGACGCUGAGGCACGAAAGCGUGGGGAGCAAACAGG